GCUAGAAGUGUUUCAUUUGCGUCAGUUUGCAGUGGAGCUUGAUGGGGCUGUGUUCAGGGUGCUUUUUAACUCUCUGUGACUGGCAGGUGCAUGAUGUCACGAUGAGGUUAGCUAUCUCGCAAAAAAGAUGGGGAAUGACAUGGGAAGCAAUUUAGGAUUAACAAAGAGAUACGGACAUCAAAGCGCAAAGUGACAUCUCCGGUCGCACUGCAGAGGCAGAGAAAUUCAGGAAUGCUUUUUAUACACUUUCUGGAAAAUUGUUUUCAUUGCCCAGAUAAACUAUCCACAGAAAGGUCAUAAGAAGUGCGAAUCUAGCUUCUUAUUUGGAAUGAUCAGUCCAAGAUUGGUUGGAUUGUUUUGUCUGAAGAGCCGUUUUAUUUUGCUUUGUUCAAAAUGAAGAGAAGAAAGGAAGACUGGCAAGGAAACGGUGGUGAUAGGAAGGGCGGGGAGAUUGAAGCUCAAACAUUGCGAAGUCAGAAGUUCAUUAAAAACGGAAGGUUAUAGCUCUUAUUGUCCCUACGUCAGUCCUCCCCUUAACAAGCUCUCCCCAUGACGCCAGGAGCAGCCUGCUAAAUGUCAGUUACUUACUGGCUGAAUAGAAAAAGAAGAAAAGUGGCUAUUUGCUUGUCUGUUAUGAAAGCAUCGAUCCAGCCUGAAAAGAGUGCAGGCUAAGAAGCCAGUGGAUGUCCAGGAGGGGAGGUGCUAACUUUCUUCAAUUUGCAAAGAUGGGACCAGGCUCCUUUUGUGAUGACUUACACAACUCUCUAUCUGGAGAGAGCUCUCUAUAUAUAGACAGCUAACAUCAAAAACGUCAUCAAAAAAGCACAACAAAGAAUGUUUUUUCUGCGCCAACUCAGAAAGCUCAAACUGCCCAAGGAGCUGCUGAUACAGUUCUACAAAGGAAUUAUUGAGUCUGUCAUCUGCACCUCUAUAACUGUCUGGUUUGGUUCUUCAAUCCAACAAGACAGACACAGACUUCAGAGGAUAAUUAGAACUGCAGAAAAAACAUUUGCUACCAACCUGUCUUCCAUUGAGGACCUGUAUACUGCAUGAGUCAAAAAAGAGGGCUGAGAAAAUAUUUACAGACCCCUCACAUCCUGGACAUAAACUGUUUCAACUCCUACCUUCAAAAUGACGCUAUAGAGCACUGCACACCAGAACAACUAGACACAAGAACAGUUUUUCCCCGAAGGCCAUCACUCUGCUAAACAAAUAAUUCCCUCAACACUGUCAAACUAUUACUAAAUCUGCACU